GGUUCACAUGCACUCAGACCAUAACGAAGUAUUACAUAAAUAUCAGAGAAUACUAUUUUGUCUUUCUGCAGAGACUUAAGAAACUGGGAGACUAUGAGACAUGUGUCCACUUCGACGGACACCGGAGAUGUGUGCCGACCCCAGCCUGCUCAGCUGUUCAGGGAUCUGAAUCCAUGUGGCAGAGGCCCCAGGCCAGAGAGACCAUUGCUAUGAGCUCAAGCAGAUGGCGCAGUGGGUGUCUUUCUGAAGAUGCAGUACAAGGUCUGUGGAGAAGAGGCUCAGUUCUUCCAGUCUUACUCAGAUCUUAUGGUGUGCUCUCCUGCUCACAGCUCCAGAGAGAGGCGCCAGAAUCUGGCUUGCAGGAACAAGAUGCAAGCAUGUCUGAAGAAAGAGCAUUCUAGCAGAAGAAAACAGCUCGAGGUGGAAGUGUGCUUAUCACAUUGGAGGAGACUAAGGAAACCAGGAUAGAAAGGAAGACACCAACAGGAGGUGUGAUUUCAGAACAACCAGUGCUGUACUCCG